GACGUAGGGCGCGAGCGUUGUCCGGAUUUAUUGGGCGUAAAGAGCUCGUAGGCGGCUUGUCGCGUCGUCCGUGAAAACCUGAGGCUUAACCUUGGGCGUGCGGGCGAUACGGGCAGACUGGAGUACUGCAGGGGAGACUGGAAUUCCUGGUGUAGCGGUGAAAUGCGUAGAUAUCGAGAGGAACACCUGCGGCGAAGGCGGGUUGCUGGGCUGAUACUGACGCUGAGGCGCGAAAGCCAGGGGAGCGAACGGG
rnacentral:rRNA from 1 species